UUAAAAAAUUUUCUUUUGUAUUUCACUUAUUUUUUAUCGAUGGUCUCCAUUUUCUAAGUUUAAAAUCAGAUGUUUUACAUAAAAAGCCAUAUCUAAAACCUCAUCACAACACACACACACACACACACACACACACACGACAGGUUCCUAACCUUCCUUACCCUUCCCGAUUCCUUGUCUCAGAAGCAAUCAUUGUCGACUCUCAGGGCUCUUCACAGCAGUCAGGUCAGGCUGAUGUUGGCCAGUCACGCAGCCAGUGGUAUCUGAGAUAGCUACACCAUCGAGGGCUCUAAGACUUGGUGGAUCUUCUUUGUAGCUAAUCCUCUGAGUCUGUAGGCGUACCUUUUGUGGAUACUUGUAGGCAAAGCCCCCUCAGUUGGCUUUUUUAGUUCCAUCGUGGGAAACUAGUCUCACCUUUUCUAGGCGACUGGUUUGGUUUCAUGACAUCCUUUGGGUUUGUCUUACAAUCUCAAGUGGGUCUUACACAGCAUUCUUCUACAGGAUCAGCUGUGGCCAGUGAGAUACCGUCCUCUGUUACAGAACCAAACUUGGGCUUUAUAUAAGGGAUUGAGCAUCUAUGCACAGUAAAUCCAAUCUACUGACACUGGGCUGUGGUGAAGGAAAGGUCAACAUUUAUUUCAGGGCGCCACAAAAGGAGAAUGGGAGGCGAUUGCUCACAAGACCCAAACUCCCCAAUGGCUUUCAGGGAAAGGUUUUUAAAGACAGGGUGAGGGAGAGGGUUGUGGGGUACAUGAUUAGCUCACAUCCAAUUCUUGGAUCAGUUGGUGAUGAGGUAAUCAGGAAUCAACAAUAUCAACCUUCUGGUUCCACCCAGUCUGGGCUCUGCGUGUUUGUGGUCAGUAUGCAUUUAACUUUUUCCACCUGGUGGGGGUUUCGGUAUCUGCAAAAUAGCUCAGAAUAUUAUCUCAGAAUAUUUGGCUCAGAAUAUUAUCUAUAGACUUUAAGGGGAACUUAAGGUCCUUGCCUUUGUUUUAUGCUUAAAUUAUCAUUACUUUGUCUUGCUUGAGUAGAAGCAAGUAAGACAAAGGAAGUUGUUUUCCUUUGUUUCUGCAUUUGCUCCCUUCUCUGAUUAAAUUUUCUCCUUGGAACUCAGGGAAAGCCUAGGAGGCUAAAGUCUUUCCACAAAUAAGAGACAGCAGACAUGGCAGGGUGCUGCUCGGUUACAGCUCCCCUCAAGAAUUCUGGUCAUUGAUAGAAUGGGCCAGCGUUGAAACAACACGCAAGACUGAUGAUGAGCUCCUUAAUUCUCAGAUUUUGUUUCUCAGUCAUUCUGGCAUCUCGCAUUUUCGCUAUUAAAUCCUCAAUAUGUGACUUGAAAGAGAAAAAGAUCUUGUCUGGGCUCACCUACUGACUCCGUGUUAAGCCUGAUUCUAUGGCAUGCAGAUGUCUUCUGUCUGCAGAACGCUUGGAUAAUAGAGAUCAUCUUUGGACUGCUGCACAAGCCCUGUUCAUCCAAGAAGCCUUGAGGCAGCGGCUUGACUGAACCGUUCCUUCUGGAGUCUGUAAAGCCAGCUUCCAUGCCACCAUAGAUGGGGAUGAUGCCCUGCGAAAAACACAAAUGCAAUUAAUGACCCCUCAAAAGUACUCAGGGCUUACUCAUUGUUCAUUACCUUGUUUCUUCUGAAGCCCUUCAAGCUGUUCUGACACGGAGGCUCAUUUUCAUCUAAGAAGAAUAUACCAUCAGGGAAAUCAUUGUCUUACAGGCACAGAAAAUGGAAAUCCCAUCCCCCGCGGGGUGGUGGGGCUGGAGAGGAAGACAGGGAGAGUGGGGAUUAAGUCAGGGAUAAGAAGUGAGGGUCUGUGCUUCCUCUCCCUGGGGGAGGAGACAAGGUACAGGAAAACCUUGGGAAAGCAAAUUUGCUGUUCAUCUCUGGAUAGACUUUGGGAAAUUUCGAGCUCUCUACACUGUAUUUUUUUUUUUUUUUUAAGUUUUAUUGGGAGUUCCCCUUAUGGCUCUGUGGGUUAAAACUGCGAGGAUGCGAGUUUGAUCCCUGGCCUCGCUCAGUGGGUUAAGGGUCUAGUGUUGUCAUGGGCUCUGGUGUAGGUCACAGAUGUGGCUUGGAUCCCAUGUUGCUGUGUCUGAGGUGAAGGCCUGUAGUUGCGGCCCAGUCCCACCCCUAGCCUAGGAACUUCCAAAUGCCGCAGCCGUUAAAAAAAAAAAAAAAAAAAAAAAAAAAAAAAAAAAAAAAUUAUUGGAGUAUGGUUGACCUAAAAUGUUGGGUUAAUUCCCAGUGUACAACAAAGGGAAUCAAUUAUGUAUCAGUUAUAUAUCCAUGCUUUUUCAGAUUCUUUUCCCGCAGAGGUUAUUACAGAGCAUAGAGUAGAUUUCCCUGUGCUAGCUAUAUAGUAGGUCUUUGUUACUUGUUUAUUUUAUAUAUAGUAGCAUGUAGACGUUCAUCCCAACCUCCUAAUCAGUGUGAUGUGAGAAGGACGAGGCAGGGCAGUGCCUUAGUCUGGUUAAGGCAGAGGUCUAAGUAAAUCAACCUGAGAUGGUAGUCUGACAGCUUCACAAACUGAGUGUGUUGUCUCAGCCACCUGGAAGUUCCCUGUGCUCCCUGGGCCCUGCUGGCUGACACAGAGGUGCUUAAAAGAGCCAGAUUAUAUGAGGGGGCUGCAGAUAAUUUGUUUUGGGGCUGUGGAGGAGCAGUUGGCUUCAGCAGCUGAUGCCAGCACAGAGACCAAAUGUACCGGAUGGGACCAAGCACAGCUCAGCAGAAUAUUCUCAGUGACUAAUUGACUAAGCAGUGACUAAAUGACUAAGGGUGAUUACAGGGGAAGGUAGCUUAACCCUCUGAAACCAUAGGUUCCCUUAGGAGGGAAACCGGAAGAAUGAGGAAGAGAAUAAUUAAAAACUCAAUGAGUUUGUCUAAUGAAAAAAGCCUGAGUUCCUAAUAGCCCAGAGAGUCUGUUGAAUCUAAAAGGACCGAAGUCCCUUGAAAGCAUUUGAGAUUUUUUUUAUCUACUGAGUAGAAAUGGAAACUUGAGACACAUGACAUCAUCUUUGGGUUUUAAAAGUGCAUUUUGUGUGUGUAUAUCUGAGUUAGAGUGUGCACAUUUCAACUCUUGCCGUAUUAGUCUGUUUGGCAUUCCACACAGUAAAGGACUUAUCAUAAGGCAGACAAGCUGCCACGAGCCCAAAUGGAUGAGUUUGUAGCUUUAAACCACAAGCAAUCCUUGAGAGGAGAUUUACGAAAUUUCCACAAUUCUUCUUUAUUUUUAUGUCUCUGAAAAUUUCCCCUCCCCUCCCCCAUCGUGUGAUCAAAUCAUGGUGCAGAUUCCUCCCAGGGUAUCCUGAAUCCAUCUUUGUAAAUCCUUAAGUUUCCAGAAUCUAGCAGCAUCUACAUUGGUUGCCUGGCUUCUCUAAUGUCUGCCCAGCUCAGCAGUCCUGGAUGCUGAGGUCACCUCCUACGUAUCAUAACCAGUAUCCCAACCAGUAUCAAUAUAUCAUCCAUGGACCUGCCUUUCCUCUCAAAGCACGGGCUAACUUUUAGAAAAAAGUGCAUGUCUGAAGACAUGAGCUCAUGUUCCACAUCCAGUCUGGGACAGCCCCCCAUGUGUUAGAGGGCUGCCCCCUGCAUUCCCCACCUCACUCCUCCUUCUCCAGGGCUGACACGUCAUUUGCUUUUAACAGGUGACUGGUCCUCCAGGACAAGGUUGUAAGUCCAUUACUCCUUUUGCUACUCUCACUUUUGCCCCCCAGAAACAAUCUUCUAAAAGUUUAGUGUCUCUGGUAGAAUGUACUUCCUUGGUUCAUUACAGGGUAUGACUUAGUUUGGGAGCAGCUAACAGUCUGCUUUGCAUUAUUCAGAGUAAAGAACAUUAGCUGUUGUGUCAAAUCGUAGCUGUUUAUUCCUCACUGCAGUCUGUAGUGGGUGGAGCUGCUCUCUUCACAGCAGUCACUCAGGUACUGUGCCUCCUUCCAGAAAAGAGACUAUCUCAGAAUCCUUUGGUCCCAGCCAUGAAAAGAAAGGAGAGUGGGUUCAAGAGACAUUUAGGGUGAGGGAGUUCCCAUUGUGGCACAGCAGAAAUGAAUACGACUAGUAUCCAUGAAGAUGUGGAUUUGAUCCC